rnacentral:rRNA from 1 species
CGGGGGAUAACAUCUGGAAACAGGUGCUAAUACCGCAUAACAACGAAAACCACAUGGUUUUCGUUUCAAAAGAUGGUUUCGGCUAUCACUUCAGGAUGGGCCCGCGGUGCAUUAGCUAGUUGGUAGGGUAACGGCUUACCAAGGCAAUGAUGCAUAGCCGAGUUGAGAGACUGAUCGGCCACAAUGGAACUGAGACACGGUCCAUACUCCUACGGGAGGCAGCAGC